rnacentral:lncRNA from 1 species
UCCCUCAGUUUUUAUUGAUUAUUAUUUUCAUUAUUUCAGCAAAAAGGAAUGUAGUAGGAGAGCAGGGUGAUAAUAAGGAGAAGGUCAACAAAAAACGUGAGCAAAAGAAUCUAUGUCAUAAUUAAGUUCAAGGGAAGGUACUAUGCCUGGACGUGCACAUAGGCCAGAUAUAUGUUUCUCUCCACCCAAACAUCUCAGCAGAGUAAAGAACAACAAGGCAGCAUUACUGCAAACAUGUCUCGCCUCCCGCCACAGGGCAGCUUUUCUGCUGUCUCAGAGUUGAACAAAUGUACAAUCGGGUUUUACACUGAGACAUUCAGUUCCUAGGGGCAAGCAGGAGACAGUGGCCUUCCUCUAUCUCAACUGCAAGAGGCUUUCCUCUUUUACUAAUCCACCUCAGCACAGACCCUUUACGGGUGUCAGGCUGGGGGACAGUCAGGUCUUUCUCAUCCCACGAGGCCAUAUUUCAGACUAUCACAUGGGGAGAAACCUUGAACAAUACCC